rnacentral:lncRNA from 1 species
GUUAGCUCGUUAGGUGCACAAUCCGAUUGCGCAACACUGCCUGAUAUAAAAUAUCUAACGAAGGUUAGGUAAUAAUGCAGCCCUUAUUCGAGCUGACCCUAAUGCUGCACACUCCAACAGUGGAGGCUGAGCCCUGAAAUCCCAAGCAUUCAGGCCAGCAGCCCCAGAGGUGAGGAAAUGGCUGUCUGAUCUGUACUAAGCCCCCAGGCUUAAAUCCCUCUCAGACUGGCAGCUAAUGCGAGCCUGUGUGGGACCACACCAG